rnacentral:tRNA from 1 species
GCAGGUGUGGUUCAGUGGUAGAAUUUUCACCUUCCAUGCAGGAGACCUGGGUUCAAUUCCCAGCCAGUGCA